rnacentral:rRNA from 1 species
AGAGUUUGAUCCUGGCUCAGGAUAAACGCUGGCGGCGUGCCUAACACAUGCAAGUCGAACGCCCUACGCAAGUAGGGAGUGGCGGACGGGUGAGUAACGCGUGGGUACCUGCCCCUCAGUGAGGAAUACCGGCGAGAAAUCGCCGACAACACCGCAUACGCUUCGUAAGAAGCAAAGCUCGCAAGAGCGCUGAGGGAUGG